CAACUUCAAAUACCACCCAUUUGGUUUCUUAUUUUUUUACUUUAGUAUCAUGUGAUUUAAAAUAUAUCAAUUUAGUACCCCGUGGUUUCAUUUUUAUCUUUUCAUCAGUCCCUCCGUUAUAACUUUUCAUUAAAUCAUAUACAAAAAACUUCAGAUAUCACACUUAUAGUUUAUCGAAUUUUACUUUAAUACCCUUUAAUUAGUUUUAACUUUGUUACUGAUUUACCGAAAAAAAAUUAGUGAAGGGAAUAACAAAACGGAGAAAAAUAAAACCAGGGUAAGAAAGUGAUACACUUUAAAUCAAAAAAUAUUAAAAUGAGAAAGUAUGAAACCACGGGAAUGAUAUUUAAAGUUUUUUCUAAAAAUAAUA
rnacentral:lncRNA from 1 species